UUGAUGACUGCUGAUAAUCUAAUGAGACACUCGUCUGAUUUCUUGAAUUUCUGAAGCUCAAACUCCUCCAGCUCCUCCUCUGAUGUCAACAACACAAAGACCAAAGCAGACCACUGGGCAGGUGAAAGAUCAGCAGAUGAGAGACUUCCUUUGCUAAGGUGGGUCUGAAUGUCUUUCACCAGAGUUUGGUCGUUCAGUUCAUUCAGACAGUAGAACAGAUUGAUGGAUCUCUCUGGAGACAGAUUAGACUCUAAUUUCUGCUUGAUGUACUGAACUAUUUCCUCUUUGCUCUGCUCAUUGUCUUCUUCAUGUGUCAACAGACCCUGUAAGAGUCUCUGAUUGGACUGGAGUGACAAACCAAGGAGGAAUCGAAGAAAAAGAUCCAGGUGUCCAUUAUCACUCUCUAGUGCCUUGUCCACUGCAGUCUUGAGCAAAUCAAUCAUGUUUUUUUUGGAUUGUUCAAGAAGGAUCUGAAGGA